rnacentral:rRNA from 1 species
UGAACGCUGGCGGCAUGCUUUACACAUGCAAGUCGAACGGUAACAGGCCGCAAGGUGCUGACGAGUGGCGAACGGGUGAGUAAUGCAUCGGAACGUGCCCAGUCGUGGGGGAUAACUACUCGAAAGAGUAGCUAAUACCGCAUACGAUCUAUGGAUGAAAGCGGGGGACCGUAAGGCCUCGCGCGAUUGGAGCGGCCGAUGUCAGAUUAGGUAGUUGGUGGGGUAAAGGCUCACCAAGCCAACGAUCUGUAGCUGGUCUGAGAGGACGACCAGCCACACUGGGACUGAGACACGGCCCAGACUCCUACGGGAGGCAGCAGUGGGGAAUUUUGGACAAUGGGCGCAAGCCUGAUCCAGCAAUGCCGCGUGCAGGAAGAAGGCCUUCGGGUUGUAAACCGCUUUUGUACGGAACGAAACGGCUCUGGUUAAUACCCGGGGCUAAUGACGGUACCGUAAGAAUAAGCACCGGCUAACUACGUG